rnacentral:rRNA from 1 species
UGAGGAAUAUUGCACAAUGGGCGCAAGCCUGAUGCAGCGACGCCGCGUGGGUGAUGAAGGUCUUCGGAUCGUAAAGCCCUUUUCUGCGUGACGAGACAGGACGGUAGCGCAGGAAUAAGUCUCGGCUAACUACGUGCCAGCAGCCGCGGUAAAACGUAGGAGACGAACGUUAUUCGGAGUUACUGGGCGUAAAGGGCGUGUAGGCGGUUUGUUAAGUCUGGCGUGAAAGCUCUCGGCUAAACCGGGAGAGGUCGUUGGAUACUGGCGAACUAGAGGAUGGUAGAGGCGUGUGGAAUUCCGGGUGUAGUGGUGAAAUGCGUAGAGAUCCGGAGGAACACCAGUGGCGAAGGCGACACGCUGGGCCAUACCUGACGCUAAAGCGCGACAGCAUGGGGAGCAAACGGGAUUAGAUACCCCAGUAGUCCCUGAGCGGGCUGGCAAGGCGCAU